rnacentral:lncRNA from 1 species
AACCAGCUUUGCUAGGGGGAGUAAUGUUCUGUGAGCUGUUCGCUCUCUCUUAGAUGUCUGGAAGUAGCUGGCAAGUCAAGGAUAUCCACCUGUAAACCGCCAACACAUUUGAAAAUACAGUACAAACCGAUUCAAAGUGCGAGCCCACUUUGAGAAGGUUCUGGAUGAGGUGACCCGCUACACCCCUCGCUACAUAGAUGAGAUGAAGUCUAUCUUUGACCAAUCGCAGGCGGAGGAGAGGAAGAGGAUCAACAAUGGACGUCACCAACAAUGAGAAUGUGAAGGCUGUGUGUAUAAUGAGCUUCACAACACUCUCAUGGCCAUCAAUGAGCAAGACAAACUGUGUGGUGGAAGAACACCCAGAGACUGGGCAUGCCCACUGACUGGUCUCCGUUCCAGGUGCAACACACAGACACAGUAUGUUAAUGGUAGUUAAUGGGGCCUAACGGAGUGUACUGUAAUAUGGGGUGAUAGAGAAGUCUACAUCUCAGUGAUAAUAAAGGACUUUGCGGACAGUCUUUUACGAUUAUCACGUCACAAUUUGCAAUGUUACCAAAUUAACAUCUUUAUAUCAUGUUGGCCAGAUUUUACGAUUUGCUUCAGUUUUGUUGUCACAUUCUACGAUGGACUUGCG